rnacentral:rRNA from 1 species
UACGAAGGGGGCUAGCGUUGUUCGGAAUCACUGGGCGUAAAGGGCGCGUAGGUGGUGGCUUAAGCGUGCGGUGAAAGCUCGGAGCUCAACUCCGAGUCGGCCGUGCGAACUGGGCUCACUGGAGCAUAGUAGAGGCAGGUGGAAUUCCGGGUGUAGCGGUGGAAUGCGUAGAGAUCCGGAAGAACACCGGUGGCGAAGGCGGCCUGCUGGGCUAUGGCUGACACUGAGGCGCGACAGCGUGGGGAGCAAACAGG